GCUGGGCAUGGUGCUGCACGCCUGUAAUCUCAGCAGCUUGGAAGGCUGAGGCAGGAGGAUCAUGUGUUCAAAGCCAGCCUCAGCAAAAGCGAGGCACCAACAACUCAGUGUGACUCUGCCUCUA
rnacentral:sRNA from 1 species